GGCAGCCCAGGCGUCCGAGCAAAUGAUCACGGCAACAGAUACAUCAGUUUACGACGCUAUUAAAAACGGUGACAAUAGAUCUGGUACAGACAGCCCCGGAUGUAAUGCAGCUCAACAUUACGAGAAAUUAUCAAAGGAAAUAGAUACGUCGGAUUACGAUGCUUUAAGUUAGUAUAACAAUUUUAUUUGGUAAUUAAGUAUUAUUUUGAAAUUUGAUUAAUACAAUACCAUAGAAGUG